UACAGAGGGGGCAAGCGUUGUUCGGAAUUACUGGGCGUAAAGGGCGCGUAGGCGGCCUUCUAAGUCGAACGUGAAAUCCCCGGGCUCAACCCGGGAACUGCGUCCGAUACUGGAAGGCUUGAAUCCGGGAGAGGGAUGCGGAAUUCCAGGUGUAGCGGUGAAAUGCGUAGAUAUCUGGAGGAACACCGGUGGCGAAGGCGGCAUCCUGGACCGGCAUUGACGCUGAGGCGCGGAAAGCCAGGGA
rnacentral:rRNA from 1 species